GACGAACGCUGGCGGCGUGCUUAACACAUGCAAGUCGAACGGAAAGGCCCUGCUUUUGUGGGGUGCUCGAGUGGCGAACGGGUGAGUAACACGUGAGUAACCUGCCCUUGACUUUGGGAUAACUUCAGGAAACUGGGGCUAAUACCGGAUAGGAGCUCCUGCUGCAUGGUGGGGGUUGGAAAGUUUCGGCGGUUGGGGAUGGACUCGCGGCUUAUCAGCUUGUUGGUGGGGUAGUGGCUUACCAAGGCUUUGACGGGUAGCCGGCCUGAGAGGGUGACCGGCAACUUGGGGCAGGGAAUAGGGCCAGGACCCCUAGGGGAGCAAGAGGGGGGGACUAUUGCACAAUGGGCGGAAGCCUAAUGAGGCAACGCCGCGUGGGGGAUAACGGCCUUCGGGUUGAAAACCGCUUUCGCCUGUGCCGAAGCGUGAGUGACGGUAAUGGGUAAAGAAGCACCGGCUAACUACGU
rnacentral:rRNA from 1 species